rnacentral:rRNA from 1 species
UACGGGGGGAGCAAGCGUUGUUCGGAUUUACUGGGCGUAAAGGGCGCGUAGGCGGCAAAUUAAGUCAUCUGUGAAAUCUCCGAGCUUAACUCGGAACGGUCAGGUGAUACUGAUCUGCUAGAGUGCGGAAGGGGCAAUCGGAAUUCUUGGUGUAGCGGUGAAAUGCGUAGAUAUCAAGAGGAACACCUGAGGUGAAGACGGGUUGCUGGGCCGACACUGACGCUGACAGCGCGAAAGCCAGGGGAGCAAACGGG